AAUCCAUAGGUUAAUGAGGCGAACCGGGGGAACUGAAACAUCUAAGUACCCCGAGGAAAAGAAAUCAACCGAGAUUCCCCCAGUAGCGGCGAGCGAACGGGGAGGAGCCCAGAGCCUGAAUCAGCAUGUGUGUUAGUGGAAGCGUCUGGAAAGGCGCGCGAUACAGGGUGACAGCCCCGUACACAAAAGCGCAUGUGCUGUGAGCUCGAUGAGUAGGGCGGGACACGUGGUAUCCUGUCUGAAUAUGGGGGGACCAUCCUCCAAGGCUAAAUACUCCUGACUGACCGAUAGUGAACCAGUACCGUGAGGGAAAGGCGAAAAGAACCCCGGCGAGGGGAGUGAAAAAGAACCUGAAACCGUGUACGUACAAGCAGUGGGAGCACCCUUUUGGGUGUGACUGCGUACCUUUUGUAUAAUGGGUCAGCGACUUAUAUUCUGUAGCAAGGUUAACCGCAUAGGGGAGCCGGAGGGAAACCGAGUCUUAAU
rnacentral:rRNA from 1 species